CUCAGGACGAACGCUGGCGGCGUGCCUAAUACAUGCAAGUAGAACGCUGAGGACUGGUGCUUGCACUGGUCUAAGGAGUUGCGAACGGGUGAGUAACGCGUAGGUAACCUACCUCAUAGCGGGGGAUAACUAUUGGAAACGAUAGCUAAUACCGCAUGACAAUAGGGUACACAUGUACCCUAUUUAAAAGGGGCAAAUGCUUCACUAUGAGAUGGACCUGCGUUGUAUUAGCUAGUUGGUAAGGUAACGGCUUACCAAGGCGACGAUACAUAGCCGACCUGAGAGGGUGAUNGGCCACACUGGGACUGAGACACGGCCC
rnacentral:rRNA from 1 species